rnacentral:misc_RNA from 1 species
UCUCCGUUGGUGGACCAGCGGAGGGAUCAUUACCGAGUUUACAACUCCCAAACCCCUGUGAACAUACCAUUUGUUGCCUCGGCGGUGCCUGCUUCGGCAGCCCGCCAGAGGACCCAAACCCUUGAUUUUAUACAGUAUCUUCUGAGUAAAUGAUUAAAUAAAUCAAAACUUUCAACAACGGAUCUCUUGGUUCUG